AAGCCAACCACUUAAUCUGCUUAUCUGAAUGUAUGACUGCAGACAUUUAGAAAAAGCUGACAACAGUGAUACCAUGUUAUGAGCCUUAAGGACAACUGAGGUCAUUAAGGAUCCUGAAAAUGGCUACAGUA